rnacentral:rRNA from 1 species
CAAUAGCGUAUAUUAAAAUUGUUGCGGUUAAAACGCUCGUAGUUGGGUAUUUGUCAAUCACUACCGGUUGCUCCUCUGGAGUUUUACUAGGUUUGUGAGUGACAUUCUACCGGGGACAGUAUUUUCACUUCAUUGUGCAGUGCUGAAGCCGGGACCAUUACUUUGAGAAAAUUAAAGUGUUCAAAGCAGGCGCUCGCUUGAAUACAUUAGCAUGGAAUAAUAGUAUAGGACUUUGAUCUUAUUUGUUGGUUUUAAAGAUCAAAGUAAUGAUUGAUAGGGACAGUUGGGGGCAUCAGUAUUCUGAAGCGAGAGGUGAAAUUCUUGGACCUUCGGAAGACUAACAACUGCGAAAGCAUUUGCCAAGGAUGUUCUCUUUAAUUCAAGAACGAAAGUUA